GAUGAAGAACGCAGCGAAAUGCGAUACUUGGUGUGAAUUGCAGAAUCCCGUGAACCAUCGAGUCUUUGAACGCAAGUUGCGCCCGAAGCCAUUAGGCCGAGGGCACGCCUGCCUGGGCGUCACACGUCGUUGCCCCCCCAUCUACUCCUUCGGGAUUGCGGGGGGCGGAUGAUGGCCUCCCGUGCGCCUCGUCGCGCAGUUGGCAUAAAUGCCAAGUCCUCGGCGACACACGCCACGACAAUCGGUGGUUGCGAAACCUCGGUUGCCCGUCGUGUGCGGUCGUCGCGCAUCGAGGGCUCGAAAAAAUUGCCGGGCUCCGGCUCGGCUUUCAACGCGACCCCAGGUCAGGCGGGGUUACCCGCUGAAUUUAAGCAUAUCAAUAAGCGGAGGA
rnacentral:misc_RNA from 1 species